GCCAGUGUGGUGCAAUGGUUUGAAUGUUGGACUAUGACUCUGUAGACCAGGGUUCAAAUCCUCGUUCAGCCA
rnacentral:tRNA from 1 species